rnacentral:rRNA from 1 species
CGUCAAGCCAUGGAAGCUGGGGGUGCCUGAAGUUCGUGACCGCAAGGAGCGACCUAGGGCAAAACUAGUAACUGGGGCUAAGUCGUAACAAGGUAGCCGUACCGGAAGGUGUGGCUGGAACACCUCCUUU